UAGAGGAUGUUCCGACCACGUAAAUUUUGGGCUCGUUAUCUCCGAGACUACAGCACUGGCAUUGUCCAAACCUAAAUUUUUAAACGUGGCCAUCACGUGGCUGAAGUUCAAAACUGCAUCUUGAAAUUCAAGCAGAGGUUUUGUGGGGGCUGAACGACUGCCCGUGAGGCCUCAGGAGCCCCCGGCUCACCUGCCCACACAGCUCGGCCUCCGCCAAACCUUCCACCAACACCCAAAAACCAAAACAGCUCCGCAGUGGAUCCCGUCCCACUGCCACCCUCCAGCCCCAGGGACUGUGGAGCUGUGGGGAAAGAGUGUAGCAGUGUCUGAAAUCUGGCUCUGUCACCACUAACCUUUAGCAGGAGAGAAACUUUCCCUCAGAUGAGAGAAGCUUUCCCUGAGGUGUCGAGAGAGAAGCUUUCCCUCAGAUGUCCACUGUAAUCAUCGUAGAUUCCCACGGAAGGAUGAGACAUGGAUUACUACAGGGAAAAGCAAUGCUGUAUCUGCCCAGAAAAUACGUACCAAGAGAUCCACGUCCAUGUUCUGGGGACGCAACCAAGAAUACGUGCAAGACUUUUAUACCACAGUAAAAUGC